GAGACACCCGUAUGGGGCAGGACUUGCUUCAGUGGGGCUUUGGUGCUCACUGAGUCUUCCUCUUGAGUGUGUUGCU
rfam:Myotis davidii contig72163, whole genome shotgun sequence.